rnacentral:rRNA from 1 species
CGGAGGAUCCAAGCGUUAUCCGGAUUUAUUGGGUUUAAAGGGUGCGCAGGCGGAAGAUUAAGUCGGCGGUGAAAUUUUGCAGCUCAACUGUAAAAGUGCCAUCGAUACUGGUUUUCUUGAGUGUGGAUGAAGUAGGCGGAAUUUGUGGUGUAGCGGUGAAAUGCAUAGAUAUCACGAGGAACUCCGAUUGCGCAGGCAGCUUACUAGGCCAUAACUGACGCUCAGGCACGAAGGCGUGGGGAUCAAACAGGAUUAGA